ACGACCUUACUUGAACAGGAUCUGUUCUAUAGGCUCGUACCUCUGUAUUCUUGAUUCCUAAGAAGACAGUAACCCAUGUCUGGUUGAUGAGCCAGAACCAUGUAGCCAGAGCGUGAUUAACCGAGACCCAUGGUCUAGGCCAUGGCUCAGUAGAUGAUCGUUGCCAUCCCGUAUGAUCGUGUCUUGGCAUGGUUACAUGGUUGUCUGACAGAUA